AUGUCCAACAUCCUUAACCUCAAGAAUCGAUGUUGGCCCUCAAACCAGUUAGCAAGGAGGGGUUUGCCGCACCAGGACGUGUGCCCGUUUUGUGAUCAGGAAGAGGAAACGAUAAGCCACAUUUUGCUCACGUGCGUGUUCGCCAGGAUGGCAUGGAUGAUGGUGGAAGAGGCUCUUGGCAGGACGGGUUGGACGCCGAGCCAGGAGGACAUGCUUGGGGACUGGCUAUGCAGUAGAAAUGCGGAUAAUUCCACUAGCAUCAAGGACUUACGUACAGUGUUGCUACUUGUAAUAUGGGAGCUUUGGAAGCAUCACAAUGCCAUUGUCUUUGACGGUGAUUCCCCAUCGAUUGACAGGCUUGUCCAAAAGGUGAAGUCCGAGGCCAAGGUGUGGGCUACGGCAGGGCUAAUCAAGAGGGAGCUAGAGGGUUUCCGAGGUAGAUUGUAUAGGUGGGCUGUGAGAGGAGUAGGGUACUUGCUUGUAAGAGCAUCUCCAGCCGUUGGCCCCCUAGGCGGUUUGAAAAAUAGCCACCUGGGGGCGAACCGGCACAAAAAAUUGGCCUGGGGGCGAUCUGGUUCCUAG
rnacentral:rRNA from 1 species